ACCUUAGACAAUGGAUGUCUUGGCUCCUCACACGAUGAAGAACGUUGCAUAAUGUGAUAAGUGGCUGGAGUCGCGUACAUUGUGACAAGUUCAAUCUUUGAAUGCACAUUGCGCCUACCGGCUUGCCGGUGGCAUAUCUGUUCCAGUAACCCA
rnacentral:rRNA from 1 species